UCUGCAUUUGCAGAUAACCGACGAUCGACUCACAUUUUCCGGCUACUUUAUCUUCAGAGUUUAAAUGGUUGAUCAACGUCUUCUCAAGAGCUGUGUCAUUUAAUUUUUACUUCAUUUUUCGCAUUCAUUAGGGGAGAGUGUGAAUAUUUCUACAGCACAAUAGAAGGAGACUAUCUAGUUAGGAGUUAGACUAGGAAUAUCAUUGGUCAUCUAUUGAUGCAGGCCUUUACCUUCUAGUGGGUUGCAUGAGGUUGAAAAUCCAGUUAAGAGGUUGCUUAUAGCUGUAUCAAAUUAUGAUCCCGAGUUGCAAGUUGGAACAGGCAAGUGACUGCUGCUUAUGUUUAUUCUCUCUAGGAAUGGAGUCACCCUGUGCGUAUUUCUAUUACCGCUUCUACAGAAUUCCCUCCUUUUGUUUUUUAAGAUAUGGUGUAGGUAUGCAUUGCUUCUUACUAAUGUUUCUUGUUAUGUUAGUUUCUGCCAUAACGGCCUUUCCAGUUUGGAUCACAUUGAGGCGUUUGUCAUUCUUAGAUGAAUUACUUUUGAGUCAAAGUAAUAGUUCUCAAAAAGACUCUCAAAAUUACCAAAAAGGGAAGAAUUGUCCCUUUUAGACCACUUGCUUUGAGACCUUUUUCACUUGAGAUACUGUCUGCCAACAUGGGAGAGGAGGUGAAGGGACACCUUUUGUCAAAAUACUGCAGUAGGAAUCUAUGUUAUUAUACAACAAAGUAUCUGAUGUUUAAGUAUCUCAUGUAAAUACGGCUGGAGCCUCCUUGUGGUUUUGAAAACAAUGUGUUUCCCCAUAACUCUCUGAGUAUUCUGUUUUCCUCUAAAACCUUGAUUUAAAUGUCCAAAAUAUCCUCCAUUUCUAUGUCAAAAGAUUCUAUAUAAUUGAUUGAACAUUAAGCAACUUAAUCUAAAAGUAGUAUAACCAUAAGGUUCUUAGAUAUAUUUACUUAAAUUAAGUACUAUUAAGUUAUCUAGUGUAAUUGUAUUACUCCUUUUGUUUCAAAAAGGAUGCCACUGUUGCCAAUAGUCUGUUUGGAAAAGAACGAAACCUUCUAAAUUUGGAAAUAAUUUAACUUGAAUUUCUCAUUUUACCAUUCAUGACAAGCUUUUACUUGGGAAGAAGAAGAAUUAGAUUUUCUUUUUACAUACAUUUUUAGUGGGAAAGGUGUGCAACCAGUGACGAAGCCCAGGAAUUUUCUCAAGAGUAUUCAAACUUGAAAGAAGUGAAAAUUCUCCGAUGAAGAGUGUUCAAUAUAUGUUAUAUACCUUUAAAACCUAGUAUUUUACCUAUAUACGCAGUGUAAUUUUCUAACGAAGCCUUUAAGACAUGUGGCUUCGCCCUAUGUGCAACACUUAUGUCAGGAGACUAUAUGGAAACAGAAGGGAGCUCUUAGCUUAUUUCUACACCAUAUGUAGGUAAUACGCAAGUUCCAAAACCGCAGAGAGUUCAUGCGCUUUUAUUCUUAUUCAGAACAAUGAACUAAAGUCUACUUACUAUGGAAACUUAUUUACUCGAGAUAUCAAUGUUUGAAUCUGCAAUGAAGUAGAAAUUUGUUUCAAUUCUGGUAGGAAGUAUGUUUAACAGUCAAGACGAAACAAAUCAUGCACAUCUCUAUCGUCCAAGAGAAAGGUCUUAUCUAACACAGAUGAUAUCAGUGACUUCUCAAAAAAUCAGAGGAGCUGAGAUUAGACCUUUCAACAAUUAUUCAGUCGCAUGCUAGUUAUAAAAGCUUGAGGAGUACACUAAGGAUGGAAUCUUUGGAUAUGCCACAAAGAGAAGUAUAUUUUGUUGAAAAAAUCUAUAUAUAGUGUGAUUGAAUCAACAUAGAAAUUUGCCACAAAUAGAAUAAGCAGGUGGUUUUACUUCAUUUUCUUUCCUUUUCUUUUUAUCUUUUUUUUUUUUUUGCGGAUGCUGAAAUGUUCCAAAUGAUAAAAAAGAUAGAUGCAGGAGAAGUAUCUUCUCAUCUUAUAUUUAGAUAAGAGACCUUAAAUAAUGCAAGAUUAGUGGUCACUGGUCACUUAAUAUUCUGGAUAUGUUUUCUUCUUUUUUGAGUCAAAUGUGGGCGCUUGCCUGUGCAUAGAUGUGAAUUAGAACAAUUGUCUGUCUAAGGAGAGCGUUUAUAUAACAGUAAUAUGCUCAGCACUUGCAUACUUUUGAUCAAAAUGGAAUUUUCUUGCCUUAUUCUCUUUGCUUUUUUAAGGUCUGAUAAGCAAAUGGCUUGUAAAAGGGGAAUUUCAAAGAGGAAAUUGAGACAUGCAGAAUCAGUAUGUCUUUUUGAGGAAUGUUUUCUAGCUUUCUAGUGGUAUAUUAUUGGAUUCUGGUAUUCAGUGGUUAGAAAUAAAAGAUAACUUCCUAAAAGAUGUCAAAAUUAUUGAAGUUAUUGCUUUCUUUAAUGACCUUAUCCUGGUUUGUGAUAUUUAUAUUGCAAUAUGUGCAGGUUGGUGGUCAUAAAACAUAAGAUCUUUCACUGGUGCCUAGUUCGGGUGAAAUUAAAAAAUAGCCAGAUUUACAAGUGGUAGUUGAAAAAUAGCCACAGUUUCAAAAGUAAUCGAAA